UUGACAAUCUGAGCUCUCACUUGAAGAAGCUAGAUGUACAGGUACCUCAAACUGCAUAAUCUAUCAAGAGAGAAGAGGGUUUUCUUCCUGGUAAUCCUGAUGCUAACCCAAGGAAGAGCUGCAAUGCCAUCUUGAUCAGAGAAGGAGAUGAUAUGUGGGAGGAAUUGGACACUGAAGACGAGUCAGAGCUCGCAGUUGCAAAGAUCGUGUCGACCGACACCCUCCUGUGUCGAUCGACACCAUAUGGGACGCUCUUUUUAGAGACGACCCAAUACGACGCUGUCGAUCGAUACCCCUCUAGUGUCGAUCGACACUGGAUUCGGACAUCACCCUGCGAGGUGCAAAUACCUAUGCAGCCCGAGUUUGUCUACCCUCUUCUUGUCCCUUAAUCCGAGGAGGCGUCGUUCUAAGCAGGAGAUUCAUGCUGCCAAGUGCACAACCAUAAUGGAGAAGAUCCUCCAUACUCUUCCUAAGGCGAGGAGGCAGCAGCAAUCCUCCACCACCACUCCAUCCACAUCCUAAACUCCGCCAAGUA
rnacentral:sRNA from 1 species